GGAGAGGUGCCAGAGCGGCCUAUCGGGACAGUCUUGAAAACUGUUGUGGCGGUCACCGUCACCGUGGGUUCGAAUCCCACCCUCUCCG
rnacentral:tRNA from 1 species